GUGCCAGCAGCCGCGGUAAUACAGAGGGUGCAAGCGUUAAUCGGAAUUACUGGGCGUAAAGCGCGCGUAGGUGGUUAGUUAAGUUGGAUGUGAAAUCCCCGGGCUCAACCUGGGAACUGCAUUCAAAACUGACUGACUAGAGUAUGGUAGAGGGUGGUGGAAUUUCCUGUGUAGCGGUGAAAUGCGUAGAUAUAGGAAGGAACACCAGUGGCGAAGGCGACCACCUGGACUGAUACUGACACUGAGGUGCGAAAGCGUGGGGAGCAAACAGGAUUAGA
rnacentral:rRNA from 1 species